UCGUAACAAGGUCUCCGUUGGUGAACCAGCGGAGGGAUCAUUACCGAGUUAUACAACUCAUCAACCCUGUGAACAUACCUAAAACGUUGCUUCGGCGGGAACAGACGGCCCUGUAACAACGGGCCGCCCCCGCCAGAGGACCCCUAACUCUGUUUUUAUAAUGUUUUUCUGAGUAAACAAGCAAAUAAAUUAAAACUUUCAACAACGGAUCUCUUGGCUCUGGCAUCGAUGAAGAACGCAGCGAAAUGCGAUAAGUAAUGUGAAUUGCAGAAUUCAGUGAAUCAUCGAAUCUUUGAACGCACAUUGCGCCCGCCAGUAUUCUGGCGGGCAUGCCUGUUCGAGCGUCAUUACAACCCUCAGGCCCCCGGGCCUGGCGUUGGGGAUCGGCGGAAGCCCCCUGUGGGCACACGCCGUCCCUCAAAUACAGUGGCGGUCCCGCCGCAGCUUCCAUUGCGUAGUAGCUAACACCUCGCAACUGGAGAGCGGCGCGGCCAUGCCGUAAAACACCCAACUUCUGAAUGUUGACCUCGAAUCAGGUAGGAAUACCCGCUGAACCUAAGCAUAUC
rnacentral:misc_RNA from 1 species